CCAGCUUAGAAACAGCUGAGAGUGACAUCACUGUGGCCAUUUGAAAAGGCAGAGAAAGAAGGGUACAUCGGGCUGCUUCAGGAAGACUGGAAUAGAGACCUUCACAGAAGAGAGAGGCCCCAUAUCAGAAGGAAGUGUGACCCAGAAGGAUGGAGCUCUUCAGAGACAGGCUUCUUUGAGAAUCAAGAAAGAUUCAGAACAGGGUCUCACUCCUGCCACCCAGACUGUAGUGCAGUGGUGAUCAUGGCUCACUGCAGCCUCGGCUUCCUGAACUCAGGUGAUCUUCUCCCUCAGCCUCACAAGUAGCUGGAACUACAGGUA
rnacentral:lncRNA from 10 species